GGUGAGUAACACGUGGAUAACCUACCUAUAAGACUGGGAUAACUUCGGGAAACCGGAGCUAAUACCGGAUAAUAUUUUGAACCGCAUGGUUCAAAAGUGAAAGCGGUCUUGCUGUCACUUAUAGAUGGAUCCGCGCUGCAUUAGCUAGUUGGUAAGGUAACGGCUUACCAAGGCAACGAUGCAUAGCCGACCUGAGAGGGUGAUCGGCCACACUGGAACUGAGACACGGUCCAG
rnacentral:rRNA from 1 species